GCGAAAACUUUACAAUGCCGGCAACGGCGAUAAGGGGACCUCGAGUGCCAGGUUACAAAUCUGGCUGUCGUGAUGCCUAAAAAGCAUUGCAUAGCAAGGGCCGGGCAAGACCGGUGCCAGCCGCCGCGGUAACACCGGCGGCUCGAGUGGUAACCGUUAUUAUUGGGUCUAAAGGGUCUGUAGCCGGCCGGAUGAGUCUCUUGAGAAAUCUGGCAGCUUAACUGUCAGGCUUUCAGGAGAUACUGUCUGGCUCGAGGCCGGGAGAGGUGAGAGGUACUUCGGGGGUAGGGGUGAAAUCUUGUAAUCCUUGAAGGACCACCAGUGGCGAAGGCGUCUCACCAGAACGGACCUGACGGCAAGGGACGAAAGCUAGGGGCACGAACC
rnacentral:rRNA from 1 species